AGAGUUUGAUCAUGGCUCAGAUUGAACGCUGGCGGAAUGCUUUACACAUGCAAGUCGAACGGCAGCACGGACUCCGGUCUGGUGGCGAGUAGCGAACGGGUGAGUAAUAUAUCGGAACGUGCCCAGUCGUGGGGGAUAACGUAGUGAAAAUUACGCUAAUACCGCAUACGAUCUAAGGAUGAAAGCGGGGGAUCGCAAGACCUCGCGCGAUUGGAGCGGCCGAUAUCAGAUUAGGUAGUUGGUGAGGUAAAGGCUCACCAAGCCAACGAUCUGUAGCUGGUCUGAGAGGACGACCAGCCACAUUGGAACUGAGACACGGUCCAGGCUCCUACGGGAGGCAGCAGUGGGGAAUUUUGGACAAUGGACGCAAGUCUGAUCCAGCCAUUCCGCGUGCAGGACGAAGGCCUUCGGGUUGUAAACUGCUUUUGUACAGAACGAAAAGGUCUCUAUUAAUACUAGGGGCUCAUGACGGUACUGUAAGAAUAAGCACCGGCUAACUACGUGCCAGCAGCCGCGGUAAUACGUAGGGUGCAAGCGUUAAUCGGAAUUACUGGGCGUAAAGCGUGCGCAGGCGGUUAUAUAAGACAGAUGUGAAAUCCCCGGGCUCAACCUGGGAACUGCAUUUGUGACUGUAUAGCUGGAGUGCGGCAGAGGGGGAUGGAAUUCCGCGUGUAGCAGUGAAAUGCGUAGAUAUGCGGAGGAACACCGAUGGCGAAGGCAACCCCCUGGGCCUGCACUGACGCUCAUGCACGAAAGCGUGGGGAGCAAACAGGAUUAGAUACC
rnacentral:rRNA from 1 species